rnacentral:rRNA from 1 species
UACGUAGGUGGCAAGCGUUAUCCGGAUUUAUUGGGUGUAAAGGGCGUGUAGGCGGGAGCGCAAGUCAGAUGUGAAAACUUAGGGCUCAACCCUGAGCCUGCAUUUGAAACUGUGUUUCUUGAGUGCUGGAGAGGCAAUCGGAAUUCCGUGUGUAGCGGUGAAGUGCGUAGAUAUACGGAGGAACACCAGUGGCGAAGGCGGAUUGCUGGACAGUAACUGACGCUGAGGCGCGAAAGCGUGGGGAGCAAACAGG